rnacentral:rRNA from 1 species
UGAGGAAUAUUGGGCAAUGGACGCAAGUCUGACCCAGCCAUGCCGCGUGCAGGAUGAAGGCGUUCUGCGUUGUAAACUGCUUUUAUCUGGGAAGAAACCUGAUUAUUCUUAAUCAGCCGACGGUACCAGAUGAAUAAGCACCGGCUAACUCCGUGCCAGCAGCCGCGGUAAUACGGAGGGUGCAAGCGUUAUCCGGAUUCACUGGGUUUAAAGGGUGUGUAGGCGGAUAUUUAAGUCAGUGGUGAAAUCUCUGGGCUCAACCCGGAAACUGCCAUUGAUACUAUUUAUCUUGAAUUCCGUUGAGGUGGGCGGAAUACAUCAUGUAGCGGUGAAAUGCUUAGAUAUGAUGUAGAACACCGAUUGCGAAGGCAGCUCACUAAACAGCGAUUGACGCUGAGGCACGAAAGCGUGGGGAUCAAACAGGAUUAGAUACCCUGGUAGUCCACGCCCUAAACGAUGAUUACUCGACAUACGCGAUACACU